GGCUGUUGCUGGUCCUCGAAUGGGGACACGUGCACGCUCUGUUUACACAUCCACUCACACCUGUGCACCCUCUGUAGUUUUACGGUCUGGGGGACCCUGUCUUCCUUCCGUAGUUCUACGUCUUUACACACACACUGUAAUAAAGUCUUAUGGAAUGUAUGCCGCGUCUAACGCAACACAAUACAACUUUCAGCAACGGAUCUCUUGGCUCUCGCAUCGAUGAAGAACGCAGCGAAAUGCGAUAAGUAAUGUGAAUUGCAGAAUUCAGUGAAUCAUCGAAUCUUUGAACGCACCUUGCGCCCCUUGGAUAUUCCGAGGGGCAUGCCUGUUUGAGUAUCAUGAACACCUCAACUCUCAUGGUUUGCCGUGACGAGCUUGGACCUUGGGGGUUUUGCUGGCCUGUGGUCGGCUCCUCUCAAAUGAAUCAGCCUCCCAGUGUUUGGUGGCAUCACGAGUGUGAUAACUAUCUACGCUCGCGGUUGCCCACCAGGUAACCUUUGGUGACAAAGGUUCGCUGGAGCUCACAGAUGUCUCUCCUUAGCGAGGACRGCUUUUUAACGUUCGAUCUCAAAUCAGGUAGGACUACCCGCUGAACUUAAGCAUAUCAAUAAGCGGAGGAAAARAAACUAACAAGGAUUCCCCUAGUAACUGCGAGUGAAGCGGGAARAGCUCAAAUUUAAAAUCUGGCGUGCCUCUGGUCGUCCGARUUGUA
rnacentral:rRNA from 1 species